UCAUCUAAAAGGACUGGACCUACAUCUGCAGUUAACUGCACAAUGGAAGAAACGGCCUCUCCUGGGCAGCCUCAUGGGUGGGGUGAAGAGACAAAGCUCGGGAGUGUAGCGUGUUGAGCACAUCUGCUCUUAGGUUGUCUCCAAGCAUAAAAAUGGAAAUACUGAUCCUGUGACAACACAGCCUGAAUUUUCUGCUUUGCAGAUGCCAGAUUUAUUUUUAAAUGGUGUGAAUCAAAUCUGUGCUGAGAGGCCAACUUCAAAAUAUAAAAGAAAAAUUGGCAAUGGGAGGAUUGUGCUGGUUUGGCUGAAAUGAAGUGCUCUACGGCAUUUCAUUCUAGUGGAGCGUCUGACUGUGAAAAUCUUUCCAAUUGUAAUUUUCUUUGGCUUGCCAAAAGAGGAUUAUGAACUAAAGUCAGUGUUGCAGGAAAUGUCACCUGUCCUUUGAAAGAAAAUAAUAAAUCAAAAUGGCUUUUGUUCAUCAUGUUUAAAAUG
rnacentral:lncRNA from 1 species